rnacentral:rRNA from 1 species
UACGGGGGGAGCAAGCGUUGUUCGGAUUUACUGGGCGUAAAGGGCGCGUAGGCGGCCAGCACAAGUCAGUUGUGAAAUCUCCGGGCUUAACCCGGAAAGGUCAACUGAUACUGUGCGGCUAGAGUGCAGAAGGGGCAACUGGAAUUCUCGGUGUAGCGGUGAAAUGCGUAGAUAAUCGAGAGGAACACCUGCGGCGAAGGCGGGUUGCUGGCUGACACUGACGCUGAUGCGCGAAAGCCAGGGGAGCGAACGGG